CCAUCCAAGGAUGGCUAUGACGGCCCUAAAUAAUCAAUGUUUCAAUCAAUGCGUUAAAGCUUGCUGGAGUUGGCUCUUCAUGAUGUAAAGUGAAGUCUCAAAUGGCAAACCCCCUCUUUAGUGACUAAACGCCCAGAUGGAGCUGGCACAGCCAUGUCAUGCUGCUCUUUCAUCUUGAACCCCUCUUUCCCACACCCGUUAUACUUGCCCCACCCAGUUUCCAGUCUACUCAAUAUUUUUCUGCCCCAAACCAAUUCUCUUACCACCUCCCAUUUCCCUUCUUCUCUGUUCUUUAUCCCACUUGGUACCAUGUUUGCUUUUAUUUUAACUUUUUUUUUUUUUUGAAAUUUUAUAUAUAUUUUUCUUUUUUACUUGGCGCGUACGCUCACGCUUUCAGUAACAUUGGGAUGUGUUUUAGAGAGCAAUUCUCGUCAUGACUUUACAUUUUAUAAUUGUUUUAUAAAGUACUUUUCCAAUUAAAUUAUUUAAGAAAU